ACCUGGGAUAGCUCAGGAGAUAGAGCAUGAGACUGUUAAUCUCAGGGUCGUGGGUUUGAAACGAUUCUUGGACUAGAUG